rnacentral:rRNA from 1 species
GAUGAACGCUGGCGGCGUGCUUAACACAUGCAAGUCGAACGGAAAGGCUCCUGCUUGCAGGGGUACUCGAGUGGCGAACGGGUGAGUAACACGUGGGUGAUCUGCCCUGCACUUCGGGAUAAGCCUGGGAAACUGGGUCUAAUACCGGAUAGGACGAUGGUUUGGAUGCCAUUGUGGAAAGUUUUUUCGGUGUGGGAUGAGCUCGCGGCCUAUCAGCUUGUUGGUGGGGUAAUGGCCUACCAAGGCGUCAACGGGUAGCCGGCCUGAGAGGGUGUACGGCCACAUUGGGACUGAGAUACGGCCCAGACUCCUACGGGAGGCAGCAGUGGGGAAUAUUGCACAAUGGGCGCAAGCCUGAUGCAGCGACGCCGCGUGGGGGAUGACGGCCUUCGGGUUGUAAACUCCUUUCGCUAGGGACGAAGCGCAAGUGACGGUACCUGGAGAAGAAGCACCGGCUAACUACGUG